GACGGAGGGUGCAAGCGUUGUUCGGAUUGACUGGGCGUAAAGGGCGUGUAGGCGGUUGGUCAAGUCCGAUGUGAAAGCCCGGGGCUCAGCUCCGGAAGUGCAUCGGAAACUAGCCAGCUUGAGCGCGAUAGAGGAGGGUGGAAUUCCUGGUGUAGCGGUGAAAUGCGUAGAUAUCAGGAGGAACACCGGCGGCGAAGGCGGCCCUCUGGAUCGUUGCUGACGCUGAGACGCGAAAGCGUGGGGAGCAAACAGG
rnacentral:rRNA from 1 species